rnacentral:rRNA from 1 species
GAUGAACGCUGGCGGCGUGCUUAACACAUGCAAGUCGAACGAUGAAGCCUUUCGGGGUGGAUUAGUAGCGAACGGGUGAGUAACACGUGGGCAAUCUGCCCUUCACUCUGGGACAAGCCCUGGAAACGGGGUCUAAUACCGGAUGAUACUUCCACUCGCAUGGGUGGGGGUUGAAAGCUCCGGCGGUGAAGGAUGAGCCC